GGCUGGUCAGAGUGCAGUGGUGUUUACAACUAAUUGAUCACAACUAGUUACAAAUUCCUUUGUUCCUUCUCCACUCCCACUGCUUCACUUGACCAGCCAUGA
rnacentral:Y_RNA from 1 species